CCCGGGCCUUGUACACACCGCCCGUCACACCACGGGAGUCGACUGGUCCCGAAGUACGUGAGCUAACCCUUUUGGGAGGCAGCGUCCUAAGGAAUGGUCGGUGACUGGGGUG
rnacentral:rRNA from 1 species